GAGCCCUCCGGGACGCAGCAGUGAGGGAUAUUGGUCAAUGGGGGAAACCCUGAACCAGCAACGCCGCGUGAGGGAAGACGGUUUUCGGAUUGUAAACCUCUGUCUUCGGUGACGAAACGAGACGGUAGCCGAGGAGGAAGCCACGGCUAACUACGUGCCAGCAGCCGCGGUAAUACGUAGGUGGCAAGCGUUGUCCGGAAUUACUGGGUGUAAAGGGAGCGUAGGCGGGAAAGCAAGUUGAAUGUUUAAGGUACGGGCUCAACCUGUACAA
rnacentral:rRNA from 1 species